rnacentral:tRNA from 1 species
GCCCAGGUGGCGUAACGGGCAGCCGCGAGGGUCCUAAACACCCUUGGCCCGCAAGGGCCGUGUGGGUUCGACUCCCACCCUGGGCACCA